UCGGCCAGCAAUUACCUUGGUGGAUGCAUCGAAAUUACUUGAACCAAAACCAGAAUCCGAUAGCGACGAGACUGUGCUAAUACAAGGAGGGUCGCUGCUGAC
rnacentral:ribozyme from 1 species